UAGGGAAUCUUCGGCAAUGGACGGAAGUCUGACCGAGCAACGCCGCGUGAGUGAAGAAGGUUUUCGGAUCGUAAAGCUCUGUUGUUAGAGAAGAACGUUGGUAGGAGUGGAAAAUCUACCAAGUGACGGUAACUAACCAGAAAGGGACGGCUAACUACGUGCCAGCAGCCGCGGUAAUACGUAGGUCCCGAGCGUUGUCCGGAUUUAUUGGGCGUAAAGCGAGCGCAGGCGGUUCUUUAAGUCUGAAGUUAAAGGCAGUGGCUUAACCAUUGUACGCUUUGGAAACUGGAGGACUUGAGGGCAGAAGGGGGGAGUGGAAUUUCAUGGGUAGCGGGGAAAUGCGUAGGUUUAUGGAGGAACACCGGUGGCGAAAGCGGCUCUUUGGUCUGUAACUGACGCUGAGGCUCGAAAGGGUGGGGAGCAAACAGG
rnacentral:rRNA from 1 species